GUCGUCGCCAUCACGGCUGCGGGUAUGGGGCUUCGAAGAGAGAUAGAGGAGCUCGCUGAGGAGAGAGAAAGGCAAUGGCCAGAGAGAGGAGGGUCUCGCAAGGAGGGGGGAGCUGGUACGCCUCCAUCGUUGCUACAGGCUGCGCCACCGCGCCUCUGGUCACCGGAAACCGUGCUGAUGUCGUCGGAAGUCGCAGUUGGAAACUCUGCAAGUUUGCCCUAGCUCAGCUUUGCUUAUGCCUGUUCUGUCCUUGCCGGUGGGGGUCACCGGAGCUGCUGAUGCUCCAUCUCCUUAUUUUCUUUGGGCUAUUGUUGAGGUUGCUGCAGUGAGGAAUCGAAGUUGUUGCUACUACCUUGGUCCUUGGUCCAAAUUUUAUGCUCUUUCAUUUCAUUCUACUUCAAUCUUCCUCACCUUUUAUCUUGGCACUCUCGUUUGGUUUUUUCGGGCUCUUGGGACCAAUUUGAAUAAAUAUUUGAUUAUGUGAGCCUUUCUAUUCAAGAGUAAUGAUUUGCAAUGGGUAUCUAUUCGUUGUUGAGUUCUUAGACGUCAUCUGCUCCAUAUGUCACAGGCAGGAUCCACCCAUAUUUAUUUUAUUUUUGUUUGUUGAAAAUAUGUAAUUAUUCAUUUUAGACAUCACAAAUUUAUUUAAAAUAUUUGAAAUUUUCUUAUUCAACUUAUAUUUGAGUCAGUUAGGCUUGUUUGGGGAUUAUUUUCCUGAGCACCGAUCAUGGCUCAUUUUGGACCGUGACACAAAGUUUCAUUUCUAAAUGAUUGAGUGAUUUGUAUUUUUUUUUUUACGUUAAAAAUGAUGGUCAUAUUGAAUGUAACUAACAAGUAAGUACUCAUUUUGUUUUAUUUUAUUUCUUCAAGAUCCAAUAGUUUUUCAAUGUAAAUAUAUGAGGUGGAAGGUCCUAUUAACAUUUUUUUAAAGAAAAUAAAAGCGAGGUCCACCAUUUGAUUAGUUAAAUGGGGGUCGGUUUGUCGGGUUCUUUUUCUAAUUGCUAUAUUCUAUACUGGCUGCUGGGAGUGGGACAAUUUUUUUUAUAAAAAUUAUAUUUACUUUCUUGUUUAGAAUAACUAUACUCAGCCAUUUGAGGUUUCACAGCCGUUGUCAUUUGACAAUUAACAUUCACAAACCAUGUAAAGUUUUGCAGAUUUUAUCAAUUUUUGAGGGCGAAAAUUUUUAUAAAGAGGAUAGAAUGUAAAAUCCUAUGGAGCAAGUGUCCUAUGGUAGGAUCACAAUUGUAUAAAUAGAAGCGCACCUAUUUGUACAAAUUGUGGCACUAUCAGAGACCUAUAGGAAUGUCAUCCUUAUCUUUUUGUCAUUCUUAUCUUUUGGUUCUUGUCAUCAUGAGUCAUCUGUCGAUUCUUGACACUUCUUUC